UACGUAGGGGGCGAGCGUUGUCCGGAUUUAUUGGGCGUAAAGAGCUCGUAGGCGGUUUGGUAAGUUGGAUGUGAAAUCUCCAGGCUCAACUUGGAGGGGUCAUUCGAUACUGCCAUGACUAGAGUUCGGUAGGGGAGUGUGGAAUUCCUGGUGUAGCGGUGAAAUGCGUAGAUAUCAGGAGGAACACCUGUGGUGUAGACGGCUCUCUGGACAGUAACUGACGCUGAGACACGAAAGCGUGGGUAGCAAACAGG
rnacentral:rRNA from 1 species